AGGACGAACGCUGGCGGCGUGCUUAACACAUGCAAGUCGAGCGGAAAGGCCCUUCGGGGUACUCGAGCGGCGAACGGGCGAGUAACACGUGAGCAACCUGCCCUUAGCUCUGGGAUAGCUCCGGGAAACCGGAAUUAAUACCGGAUAUGACCUAGGCCGACAUCGGCCGUGGUGGAAAGUUUUUCGGCUAGGGAUGGACUCGCGGCCUAUCAGCUAGUUGGUGGGGUAAUGGCCUACCAAGGCGACGACGGGUAGCCGGCCUGAGAGGGCGACCGGCCACACUGGGACUGAGACACGGCCCAGACUCCUACGGGAGGCAGCAGUGGGAAUCUUGCGCAAUGGGCGAAAGCCUGACGCAGCGACGCCGCGUGGGGGAUGAAGGCCUUCGGGUUGUAAACCCCUUCAGCAGGGACGAAGCGAAAGUGACGGUACCUGCAGAAGAAGCGCCGGCUAACUACGCGCCAGCAGCCGC
rnacentral:rRNA from 1 species